ensembl:lncRNA
GAGAGAUUUGCGCUCACGCAUUGUUUUAAUGUAAUUUCGCGCUACAAUAAUGCGCUCUCGAUAUUUUGUCAGUAAAAUAUCGCCAUAUGUUUUAAUAUUUUAUUAGGUUCUUUGAUAAGGUUACAAUACGAAGGUCUACGUAGCAACGUAACUUGCGUGAUGUCCCCGCGGGUCGGGUCAGAGCCUGGUAUCAGUGACAAACCCCCAGUACCUCAGAUUGUGGACACAGAACCCAUCUACACAGUAAAGGAGAUGCUGGACUCUCGACGUCGUGGAGGCCACCUCAAAAACCUCGUAGACUGGGAGGGGUAUUGACCAGAGGAGCAAUGCUGGAUCCCAUGUGACGACAUCCUGGAUCCCACUCUCCUCAGAGAAUUUCACCAGCAACAUCCACAGCGCCUGGCACCUAGGGACAGAGGGUGGCCACCAUGACGUCGAGGGGGGUACUGUCACGGAAACACCAGGUUCUCUUACCACCAAGCAACGAUCCCAAUCACCUGAAUUCUGAACACCUGCACUCAAUCAGCACACCCUCAUCAGCCCCAGUAUAUAAGCACACACCU